rnacentral:lncRNA from 1 species
CAUAGGUAGGAGUUGAUAUACGUUCGUGACAUGUACACAUAGAAAGUCUAAUUCCCAUAGCCUCUGUAUGUAUGUUGAUUAUAUUCAUUCUGGUAAAUUCAUCUUUAUAUUGCCAAUAGAUAUUGAACUUGUCUAGAACAUGAGAGGGCAAUAGUUCCAACCUUAAUUUACUUGUAUUUGUCCACUGAUAAAUUAUAUAAUGUUAGCAACAAUUCCAACCUUAAUUUUGAUAAGCAAUUUUAUAUUUUUUCUAAAUUUUUCAUACCUGUGCAUACAGGCUCUACUAGAGAAGCUCAAAGAUAUACAAAAGCAAAACCCUUUUUUCACCCAUGCCUUUUCAUUUUUGCCGCAUUCUGACAAUCAAUCUUUUGCGAUGAAUUUUAUUUAUACUCAACCAUCAGGUAUGGUUUUAUUUUGAUCUUGGCAAUGUAUCCCUACUUCCACACAUAGAACCACUCUGAAUACAUUUAGCUAAAUCCAAAAUUUGCAAAUAUUGAUUAUAGAGAUAUACUUGGCUACACUCAAGUCGAUCUCUAUUCAGAUCUGAUCAUAUCUAGAUAUAAUGAGAGACCCACAUCGAUGAUGAUAUGAUCAGCUACCACUAAAUUGCUUGCACUCCAAAAACCAUAUAAUUUAAAAAUUCUUAGCCUAUGCAUCAAGUGAUCAAAAAAUAUAUAUUGUUUCAUGUUAUUUAAACUGUCUUUUUUUUUUGACCACUUGAUGCAUAGGCUAAGAGUCUCUAAAACAAAUAUUUUUUUGUGUAUAAGCAGUUCAGAGAUAGUAGAUCACAUCCAACAACACGGAUUAAUGAUGUAAGACCCCAUCAUCCGAGCAAUCAGAUCUGAGUGGAGAUCUGCUCAAAUGCAGCCAAAUCUAUUUUUUAUUAUAACAAAAAAAACAAAUCAUUAAAAAUUCCAACCUGGAACAAUUAAGGCUUGAUAUCAAAAGGACUGGAGGGGAAUGAAACUGGGGAACUGACUGGCGAGCUGAAAGAGUU